AACGAACGCUGGCGGCAUGCCUAACACAUGCAAAUCGAACGAGACCUUCGGGUCUAGUGGCGCACGGGUGCGUAACGCGUGGGAACCUGCCCUUAGGUUCGGAAUAACUCCCCGAAAGGGGUGCAAAUACCGGAUAAUGUCUUCGGACCAAAGAUUUAUCGCCUUUGGAUGGGCCCGCGUUGGAUUAGCUAGUUGGUAGGGUAAAAGCCUACCAAGGCGACGAUCCAUAGCUGGUCUGAGAGGAUGAUCAGCCACACUGGGACUGAGACACGGCCCAGACUCCUACGGGAGGCAGCAGUGGGGAAUAUUGGACAAUGGGCGAAAGCCUGAUCCAGCAAUGCCGCGUGAGUGAUGAAGGCCUUAGGGUUGUAAAGCUCUUUUACCCGGGAUGAUAAUGACAGUACCGGGAGAAUAAGCUCCGGCUAACUCCGUG
rnacentral:rRNA from 1 species